GUUUUAAAUCGAAAGAAUUAUUUCGUGAACACAUUUCCUUUAAAUUUUUCUUCAUGGCGUCCCAUAUAUAUUUGGCAAUGUUCUUCCUGAGAAUGGUGUCAAGAACGGUCCAAUAGAUUGCCUCGAAGAGAUAGUUAUUCACUUUCAGGUCCUUCAGCUUCAUCUUAUCAUUCUUCUUUCGUUAUGCAUCUGUCUGCAACGAUUCACUUGCUGGUUCAAUAAAGCUAGGCUCCACCAGCCCCCAAAAUUCCUUAGAUCGCAAAAAAAUUUCCAUCAGCAUGCUCCUAUGGUCAUAGUGACCAUCAAAGCAAGGAAUGGCUGGUUGCAUAAAACUUCCUUUUGUAGUCAUCUUCUGUGCUGCUGCAAGAAUUUUAAAGACUGCUGCUUUGAUUUGUCAAGCCCAGUGGAGGCUCUGAUACCAAAUUGAUGGAAAAUUUGAUCUAAAAUGAAAUUAAGAAUAAGAACACAACAAGCUAAAUUGAAUGACUUAGUUUUAUUAACAAUAACUUUGGCUUAAAUAGCCAUUCAAUACAAAAUCUUUAUAGAAACGAGAAAACAGCCCACUUAGCGGAAAUAAAGCAAGUGGUAACAGAAACUUGGAACAAUUCAAAUAAAAGUAGAUGUCCCUAAAGACUAGGACUUUUCCUGUAGACCAGAAUAUUAUUCUAACAAAAAACUACCAUAAACUCCUUCAGAUUUUUGGGAUCUUUAGUAUUUAUACUCCAGCGUCUUCUUUAGUAGUUGGUAGUGAUUUUUAGUUUCUGUUUACUGUUUAGGAAUUUAUAUUAUUAACCUUGGGAGGCUGCCGGGGUUAUUGUUGCUAUUGAGAAUCCUCAAGACAUCAUCGUUCAAUUUGUCAGACCAUAUGGUUAGAGAGCUGUCUAAAGUUUGGACAGUACACUGGUGCUCGUGCAAUUGCUGGUCCUCAUACUUCUGGAACAUAGUUUCAGACAUCAUUCAGUGAGCCACACAUUUUGAUCCUUACUGACCAAAGAACUAAUCAUCAACCUAUUUAAGAAGCCGCGGUUUCUAGCAUCCCCACCAUUGCUUUCUCUGACACCGAUUCACAAAUGAGGUAUGUUGAUAUUGGCAUCCCUACCAACAACAAAGGGAAACACAACAUCAGUUGUCUUUUCUGGCUCUUUGUAAGAUGGUUCUGUAAAUGCAUGGCAUCAUUGCUCCUGGUCACAAGUGGGAUGUGAUGGAUUAGAAUUUGCAUACUUGGAAGCAAGUGAAGAUUAUACUUCUUAACAAAAUAUGUGUAACGACCCGGACCUCUCGCCCAAGCCGUUAACUUACAACGUCCGCCAAGGCCCACUUACUCCUCAUGACUUUCUGUCGCGUCCCCCAGGAUUCGAACCCAUAACCUUCCCCUUAAGUAAGAUAUUAUACUCUUUUUAUAGCUCGUGUUAAGCAAUAUAAUUUGGAAUCAAGAAAAAAUAAUUUCGAGCUAGUAUGCCAGAGUUAUUCUAACAUUUUUUUUUUGACCUGACAGUCCAUCCUGAAGGAUUUAACUUCUUUGCAUUCAACCCGAAUGCCUUAUAGUAUCUCAUGCUAGAAUUUACAUACAUAUCAAGAAAUAAAAAUUUACCACUUGCACCAUGUAUUCUUACCUCCAAAGAAAUUUUUGAAAUUUGGCUUUGUAAAUAAAAUGAUACUCCUUUUUCAGAAUACGUGUGUCAAUGUGUGUAAAUGUGAGAGUGAUAGUUUCUGUGCGGUAAAGAAGAAUUUUUUUCUUUCAUAUGAUAUAUAAAGGUAACCACUUGUAUUUUUAUCUAUCACUCAAAACGACAAAACGUAUAUCAAAACGUACAAAUUUUCAGUUGAAUAUUCAAUAGAUGAUUAAUAUAUUAUUUAUUUCCAUUGGUCACGUCUUAUCAUGUCUGAAUUCUGACGGUUGAUUGCCAAUUAUUAAUGGAGUGAGCUUAAUGAAUGGUUAACAUAUAUUAAAUUACAAUUCAUUUCAAAUUCCUAAAAAACACGUAUUGG